rnacentral:tRNA from 1 species
GGUGGCUUAGUGGUAGAGUGCUUGCAUUGCAUGUAUGAGGCCCUGGGUUCGAUUCCCCAGCACCA